GAUCAUGGCUCAGAUUGAACGCUGGCGGCAUGCCUUACACAUGCAAGUCGAACGGCAGCACGGGAGCAAUCCUGGUGGCGAGUGGCGAACGGGUGAGUAAUAUAUCGGAACGUGCCCAGUAGUGGGGAUAGCCCGGCGAAAGCCGGAUUAAUACCGCAUACGACCUGUGGGUGAAAGCGGGGGAUCGCAAGACCUCGCGCUAUUGGAGCGGCCGAUAUCAGAUUAGCUUGUUGGUGGGGUAAAAGCCCACCAAGGCGACGAUCUGUAGCUGGUCUGAGAGGACGACCAGCCACACUGGGACUGAGACACGGCCCAGACUCCUACGGGAGGCAGCAGUGGGGAAUUUUGGACAAUGGGCGCAAGCCUGAUCCAGCCAUGCCGCGUGAGUGAAGAAGGCCUUCGGGUUGUAAAGCUCUUUCGGUGGGGAAGAAAUUGCACAGGAUAAUACCUUGUGUAGAUGACGGUACCCGCAUAAGAAGCACCGGCUAACUACGUG
rnacentral:rRNA from 1 species